rnacentral:rRNA from 1 species
CCUACGGGGGGCUGCAGUGGGGAAUAUUGGACAAUGGGCGAAAGCCUGAUCCAGCCAUGCCGCGUGUGUGAAGAAGGCCUUCGGGUUGUAAAGCACUUUCAGUGGGGAAGAAAGCCUUGGGGCUAAUACCCUCGAGGAAGGACAUCACCCACAGAAGAAGCACCGGCUAACUCCGUGCCAGCAGCCGCGGUAAUACGGAGGGUGCAGCGUUAAUCGGAAUUACUGGGCGUAAAGCGCGCGUAGGCGGUCUGAUAAGCCGGUUGUGAAAGCCCCGGGCUCAACCUGGGAACGGCAUCCGGAACUGUCAGGCUCGAGAGCAGGAGAGGGAGGUAGAGAACCCGGUGUGGCGGGGAAAAGCGCGUAGAUAGGGAGGAAUACCAGUGGGGAGGGCGGCCUCAUGGACUGACACAGACGCUGUGGUGCGAAAGCGUGUGUAGCACAAAGAGUAAGAUACCCGCGUAAGC